GAUGAACGCUGGCGGCGUGCCUAAUACAUGCAAGUCGAGCGAACAGAUAAGGAGCUUGCUCCUUUGAAGUUAGCGGCGGACGGGUGAGUAACACGUGGGUAACCUACCUAUAAGACUGGGAUAACUUCGGGAAACCGGAGCUAAUACCGGAUAACAUUUAGAACCGCAUGGUUCUAAAGUGAAAGAUGGUUUUGCUAUCACUUAUAGAUGGACCCGCGCCGUAUUAGCUAGUUGGUAAGGUAACGGCUUACCAAGGCGACGAUACGUAGCCGACCUGAGAGGGUGAUCGGCGACACUGGAACUAGGACACGGUCCAGACUCGUACGGGAGGCAGCAGUAGGGAAUCUUGCGCAAUGGGCGAAAGCCUGACAGAGCAACGCCGCGUGAGUGAUGAAGGGUUUCGGCUCGUAAAACUCUGUUAUUAGGGAAGAACAAAUGUGUAAGUAACUGUGCACAUCUUGACGGUACCUAAUCAGAAAGCCACGGCUAACUACGUG
rnacentral:rRNA from 1 species